GUCCACAUCGACGGGGAGGUUUGGCACCUCGAUGUCGGCUCAUCGCAUCCUGGGGCUGGAGAAGGUCCCAAGGGUUGGGCUGUUCGCCCAUUAAAGCGGUACGCGAGCUGGGUUCAGAACGUCGUGAGACAGUUCGGUCCCUAUCUGCCGCAGGCGCAGGAAACUUGAGGGGGUCUGCACCUAGUACGAGAGGACCGGAGUGGACGGACCGCUGGUGUACCAGUUGUCUCGCCAGAGGCACAGCUGGGUAGCUAUGUCCGGUCGGGAUAAGCGCUGAAAGCAUCUAAGCGCGAAGCCUGCCCCAAGAUAAGGUUUCCCAUCCGGCUAUAAAAGCCGGGGUAAGACCCCAGGCAGAUUACCUGGUUGAUAGGUCGGAAGUCGAAGUGCAGUAAUGCAUGCAGCAGACCGAUACUAAUAGGUCGAGGGCUUGACCUAUU
rnacentral:rRNA from 1 species